GACGAACGCUGGCGGCGUGCUUAACACAUGCAAGUCGAACGGUGACCUCCGCUUGCGGGGGGAUCAGUGGCGAACGGGUGAGUAACACGUGGGCAACCUGCCCUCAGCUCUGGGAUAACUCCAAGAAAUUGGGGCUAAUACCGGAUAUGACCGCUGACCGCAUGGUCUGGUGGUGGAAAGAUUUAUCGGCUGGGGAUGGGCCCGCGGCCUAUCAGCUUGUUGGUGGGGUAGUGGCCUACCAAGGCGACGACGGGUAGCCGGCCUGAGAGGGUGACCGGCCACACUGGGACUGAGACACGGCCCAGACUCCUACGGGAGGCAGCAGUGGGGAAUAUUGCGCAAUGGGCGAAAGCCUGACGCAGCGACGCCGCGUGGGGGAUGACGGCCUUCGGGUUGUAAACCUCUUUCAGCAGGGACGAAGCGAAAGUGACGGUACCUGCAGAAGAAGCACCGGCCAACUACGUG
rnacentral:rRNA from 1 species